GAGUGUUUGCUACCACUAACCAUGGCGAACUUCGGAAGAGCCGCCGACGACUACUACUUUUUACUUUAACUCCUCCCCAGGCUGAGAAUAACGUUGCUGGGUGUUAGGCAGAUCCAGCUAUAAUGAAACACUAAGCCAUACUCGUAGCGUUAGCAUGUAGCAGUACUGCUAAAUGUAGACAGACUAAGCUAUUCUCGUAGCGUUAGCAUGUAGCAGUACUGCUAAAUGUUCCAUGAACAAAAUAAGAGCUUAAUAAAAACAGUCACUUACAAUGUCCUCUCACUUUGGGAUACCGACUGAUGGGGUGGCUGUAUCUUUCAUCAUUUUUGCUCGCCGUUGAGCAGACGUGCUCUGGUGUCAAUGCUGUGCUGAAGUUGUUUUGUGAGCCCUCCGCACUGCAAUGUGCUUGUUCACCGUAACACCCCCCCACCCCGCACCCACCCCUGUGCUGCAGCAGGAUCCUGAUAGAGCUCCUCCUCACACAGUGCUGCCUCAUCUUUGAUUGUGUGUGAAGGGCCGACGAACAGAUGGAGAGGAACGGAGGGAGGGAGAAAGACAAAAGUGGAAAGAGCCCGGAAGACAAGUGAAGCGAGCACUUCACGAUCCAUGUCAACACAGUGGAGAAUGAAACACAGCCAAGAUGGAUUGUUUAAUCAGAAAGCAGAGCCUGCUGGGCACUGGCAAUCAUCCCCUACAGUGUUUUGAUUGAGCCUCCACGGUGUCGAUCAUGCAAGGUGGUGUUUUAACGCUCAUCUGAUGAGAGGUG